GAAAAUGUGGUCCAAGUAGUGACUGAUAAUGCUUCUAAUAACAUGGGGGCAAAGAAGAUGUUGUUGGAGAAGCGGCCGAACAUGUUUUGGAGCUCUUGUGCGACGCACACCAUUAACUUGAUGUUGCAAGGAAUUGGCGAUCUGCCAAGGUUUAGUAAGGUACUUGAAAAAGCAAAAGCAUUCACUAUCUUUGUCUAUGGGCACACACGGACCUUGGACUGCAUGAGACACUUCUCUUCAGGGAAAGAGAUCAUAAGGCCACGGGUCACUAGGUUUGCUUCUGGUUAUCUAACUUUGGAAAGCCUUCUAGAAAAAAAGGAUCAACUGAGGAAGAUGGUGGUUGAUGGUAGAUGGGACAAACUAAGAGAAGUUAAAUCAAAAAAGGGAAAGGUAGCAACAACUACGAUGAUGAGCAUGGCUUUUUGGAAAGAUUUGAAGCUUUGCCUGAAUGUCUUUGAGCCUUUGGUAAAAGUCCUUCUUUGGUUGAUGGGGAUGUCAAGCCAUCUAUGGGUUUUGUCUAUGGAGAAAUAG
rnacentral:rRNA from 1 species